UGACUCGGUGUUGUGCCAAAGA
rnacentral:piRNA from 1 species